CACGUAGGGCGCAAGCGUUGUCCGGAAUUAUUGGGCGUAAAGAGCUCGUAGGCGGCUCGUCGCGUCGACCGUGAAAACCCGCGGCUUAACCGCGGGCUUGCGGUUGAUACGGGCGGGCUAGAGUUCGGUAGGGGAGACUGGAAUUCCUGGUGUAGCGGUGAAAUGCGCAGAUAUCAGGAGGAACACCGGUGGCGAAGGCGGGUCUCUGGGCCGAUACUGACGCUGAGGAGCGAAAGCGUGGGGAGCGAACAGG
rnacentral:rRNA from 1 species